rnacentral:rRNA from 1 species
GGCUGUCGUCAGCUCGUGUCGUGAGAUGUUGGGUUAAGUCCCGCAACGAGCGCAACCCUUGCUCCUAGUUGCCAGCAGGUAAUGCUGGGCACUCUAGGGGGACUGCCGGUGAUAAGCCGGAGGAAGGUGGGGAUGACGUCAAGUCCUCAUGGCCCUUACGCCCAGGGCUACACACGUGCUACAAUGGCCGGUACAGAGGGCAGCGAAACCGCGAGGUGGAGCAAAUCCCUAAAAACCGGUCUCAGUUCGGAUUGGAGUCUGCAACUCGACUCCAUGAAGGUGGAAUCGCUAGUAAUCGCGGAUCAGCACGCCGCGGUGAAUACGUUCCCGGGCCUUGUACACACCGCCCGUCACGCCAUGGAAGUCGGUAGCACCCGAAGUCGGUGGCCCAACCCUUCGGGGAGGGAGCCGCCGAAGGUGAGAUCGGUGACUGGGGCGAAGUCGUAACAAGGUAGCCGUACCGGAAGGUGCGGCUGGAUCACCUCCUUUCUAGGGAGA